GAUAGCGCUUAAGCGCGA
rnacentral:snRNA from 1 species